rnacentral:rRNA from 1 species
AGUGAACGCUGGCGGUAGGCCUAACACAUGCAAGUCGAACGGCAGCACAUUAAGAGCUUGCUCUUACGGGUGGCGAGUGGCGGACGGGUGAGGAAUACAUCUGAAUCUACUUUUUCGUGGGGGAUAACGUAGGGAAACUUACGCUAAUACCGCAUACGACCUACGGGUGAAAGCAGGGGAUCUUCGGACCUUGCGCGAUUGAAUGAGCCGAUGUCGGAUUAGCUAGUUGGCGGGGUAAAGGCCCACCAAGGCGACGAUCCGUAGCUGGUCUGAGAGGAUGAUCAGCCACACUGGAACUGAGACACGGUCCAGACUCCUACGGGAGGCAGCAGUGGGGAAUAUUGGACAAUGGGCGCAAGCCUGAUCCAGCCAUACCGCGUGGGUGAAGAAGGCCUUCGGGUUGUAAAGCCCUUUUGUUGGGAAAGAAAAGCAGCAGGUUAAUACCCCGCUGUGCUGACGGUACCCAAAGAAUAAGCACCGGCUAACUUCGUG